UUGACGGGGCCGCACAAGCGGUGGAGCAUGUGGUUAAUUCGAAGCAACGCGAAGAACCUUACCAGGUCUUGACAUCCCUGACAACCCGAGAGAUCGGGCGUUCCCCUUCGGGGGACAGGGUGACAGGUGGUGCAUGGUUGUCGUCAGCUCGUGUCGUGAGAUGUUGGGUUAAGUCCCGCAACGAGCGCAACCCUCGACCUUAGUUGCCAGCAUUCAGUUGGGCACUCUAAGGUGACUGCCGGCUAAAAGUCGGAGGAAGGUGGGGAUGACGUCAAAUCAUCAUGCCCUUUAUGUCCUGGGCUACACACGUACUACAAUGGCCGUUACAACGGGAAGCGAAGGAGCAAUCCGGAGCAAAUCCCUUAAAGGCGGUCCCAGUUCAGAUUGUGGGCUGAAACUCGCCCACAUGAAGGCGGAAUUGCUAGUAAUUGCAGAUCAGCAUGCUGCAGUGAAUACGUUCCCGGGCCUU
rnacentral:rRNA from 1 species